rnacentral:rRNA from 1 species
AGAGUUUGAUCAUGGCUCAGGAUGAACGCUAGCGGCAGGCUUAAUACAUGCAAGUCGAACGAGAUCAAGAGGCUUGCUUCUUAUGAAAGUGGCGCACGGGUGCGUAACGCGUAUGCAACCUACCUUAAUCAGGGGGAUAGCCCGAAGAAAUUCGGAUUAAGACCGCAUAAAAACACAGGAUAGCAUUAUCCAAUGUUCAAAUAUUUAUAGGAUUAAGAUGGGCAUGCGUGUCAUUAGCUAGUUGGCGGGGUAACGGCCCACCAAGGCGACGAUGACUAGGGGAUCUGAGAGGAUGACCCCCCACACUGGUACUGAGACACGGACCAGACUCCUACGGGAGGCAGCAGUAAGGAAUAUUGGUCAAUGGAGGGAACUCUGAACCAGCCAUGCCGCGUGCAGGAAGACAGCCCUCUGGGUCGUAAACUGCUUUUAUUCGGGAAUAAACCUUUCUACGUGUAGGAAGCUGAAUGUACCGAAGGAAUAAGGAUCGGCUAACUCCGUGCCAGCAGCCGCGGUAAUACGGAGGAUCCAAGCGUUAUCCGGAUUUAUUGGGUUUAAAGGGUGCGUAGGCGGCUUAUUAAGUCAGGGGUGAAAGACGGUGGCUCAACCAUCGCAGUGCCCUUGAUACUGAUGAGCUUGAAUACACUAGAGGUAGGCGGAAUGUGACAAGUAGCGGUGAAAUGCAUAGAUAUGUCACAGAACACCGAUUGCGAAGGCAGCUUACUAUGGUGUUAUUGACGCUGAGGCACGAAAGCGUGGGGAUCAAACAGGAUUAGAUACCCUGGUAGUCCACGCCCUAAACGAUGAAUACUCGCUGUUAGCGAUAUACAGUUAGCGGCUAAGCGAAAGCGUUAAGUAUUCCACCUGGGGAGUACGCCCGCAAGGGUGAAACUCAAAGGAAUUGACGGGGGCCCGCACAAGCGGAGGAGCAUGUGGUUUAAUUCGAUGAUACGCGAGGAACCUUACCCGGGCUUGAAAGUUAGUGAAUGAUCUAGAGAUAGAUCAGUGAGCAAUCACACGAAACUAGGUGCUGCAUGGCUGUCGUCAGCUCGUGCCGUGAGGUGUUGGGUUAAGUCCCGCAACGAGCGCAACCCCUAUGUUUAGUUGCCAGCACGUUAAGGUGGGGACUCUAAACAGACUGCCUGUGCAAACAGAGAGGAAGGAGGGGACGACGUCAAGUCAUCAUGGCCCUUACGUCCGGGGCUACACACGUGCUACAAUGGAUGGUACAGAGGGCAGCAAGCUGGCAACAGCAAGCGAAUCUCAAAAAGCCAUUCACAGUUCGGAUAGAGGUCUGCAACUCGACCUCUUGAAGUUGGAUUCGCUAGUAAUCGCGUAUCAGCAAUGACGCGGUGAAUACGUUCCCGGGCCUUGUACACACCGCCCGUCAAGCCAUGGAAGUUGGGGGUACCUAAAGUAUGUAACCGUAAGGAGCGUCCUAGGGUAAAACCGAUAACUGGGGCUAAGUCGUAACAAGGUAGCCGU